CCUCAUAAAAGGCCCUUCCAUUCGGUUGAGAGAGGCAGGGCUCUCAAGGGAAUUCAUGAGAGUUGGAGAUAAAUGUAAGGAGACAGAGAGGGUGCUAAUAGGAAUUUGAGAUCAGGAAGUCUCUCAAAAAGACUUUCAAGUGGGAAAGCAAGUUGCGGCCUCCAUUGGCAGGAAGGAGAUCAAGUUGCCUGACAUCUCAAAAACAACUUACCUAGACCUCCAGUGCUUAUGCGUGGCUUCAAGCAGGAGUGAAGGUGAACCUCUUGGUGAUCGACCAUGAUAAGUGAAUAUGUCUGUCCCAGAAAUGAACUCUUAGAGAAUCCGGCCCUUCACAUCGCUUGCGAUCGUGAAAAAAUUUAUCAUCAGUGCAAUGGAAGCAAGUGACUGAAUAGCCUUCGAGUCUUGGAUGCACA